rnacentral:rRNA from 1 species
AGUGAACGCUGGCGGUAGGCCUAACACAUGCAAGUCGAACGGAAGCACAGUAAGAGCUUGCUCUUACGGGUGGCGAGUGGCGGACGGGUGAGGAAUACAUCGGCAUCUACUUUUUCGUGGGGGAUAACGUAGGGAAACUUACGCUAAUACAGCAUACGACCUACGGGUGAAAGCAGGGGAUCUUCGGACCUUGCGCGAUUGAAUGAGCCGAUGUCGGAUUAGCUAGUUGGCGGGGUAAAGGCCCACCAAGGCGACGAUCCGUAGCUGGUCUGAGAGGAUGAUCAGCCACACUGGAACUGAGACACGGUCCAGACUCCUACGGGAGGCAGCAGUGGGGAAUAUUGGACAAUGGGCGCAAGCCUGAUCCAGCCAUACCGCGUGGGUGAAGAAGGCCUUCGGGUUGUAAAGCCCUUUUGUUGGGAAAGAAAAGCAGCAGGUUAAUACCCCGCUGUUCUGACGGUACCCAAAGAAUAAGCACCGGCUAACUUCGUG